GUACACACAGGUCUAUUACACUAAAGCGAAACCCAAGAGACACAAAGGGAAACCAGCUCCUGCAGCAGCUGAUGAAACAGUUUAUUCUGAAGUUAAAUCACAAACAGCUCUGGAUUAAUGACAAGAUCUGGGGCUGCAAAACCAACUGGAUCUGUGAAAAACUGAGUUAAUUUCAUUUGAAUUUAAGCAAUCAUAAUCAUCCUAGUGGAGUUGGACUGCCUAUACAACCUCUGUAGCAUCCAGGGAUUUUCUUAUCCUACUUAUCCGACCAGUAAUCAUGAUGAGCCUAGCCAAAUGCAACAAUAGUCCACCAUCAGGCCGGGGUCUUUCUGUGUGGAGUUUGCAUGUUCUCCUCGUGUUUGCGUGGGUUCUCCCCGGCUACUCCGGCU